GAAACACUUUAAGGGCAACUGCUUUCGCCAGAGGCUGAGCUAGCCAGAGAAGCGCUGGAGAAACCGGUGGAACAGUGAACCAUAUACAAAAAUAGGCUAGGAGUUCCUGGACUGGACCGGAAACGCUUGCAGAUGAGUGCCCUAAAUCUCCCAGAGAUGAUUUACCAGAGUUCGAGAUAUUGAUGAACCGGGACUGUAAGGCAGUGUUCAGCUUGCCCCACUUGUCAACCGGCUGAUUCCCCGAGUUUUACAUCCCCCUGGAAAAGAAAGCGAGUUCAACCGAACUGAGCUGCAAAUAGGACCAUUCUUAGUGGGAAAGUAUGAGGCCGUAUAUCUGUGGAACAGAAGAGAAAAACGCUCUAGACUGGUGGAUUUGGGAUUUUGUUUGUGUGAACCCUAGCAUUGUUUCUCCAAUUUAAACAACGAUUAGAGCUUCAUUCUCUUUUCUCCAAGGUCGCUUACAAUUAGAUCUUGAGCUGACAGUGCUGGCCGAGAUUUCCAAAGGUUAUCCGUUCGGUUUUGCUUGGUUCUUCUCUCAGUCUAGAGCACAAGGCCUGUUACAGCAAGCACCCACCAAAUUAACUAAACAUAAGAAUCCUGUUUGGUGUCCUAAUUCAGUGGCUACUUUUAUUAACUAUGGUUUCCUUAACUUUGUUGAAAUAUAAGAACAUUAAAAGGGCUACUUUCACUUUGCCUUCUAUCAGUGGCCUAUAAUAUCUUUUUUGGCGUUUCUUGCUUAUUAUUUUUCAACUCUUGGUACAAACUUGUAUUAGUCAGCUCUCAGUUUUAGAUAUUUCAGGUGUCUUCUCCCAGUUUGUUAUUCAUCUGUUAACUUGUCCAUAAUAUACUUAAUUUACGAGAAGUU